rnacentral:misc_RNA from 1 species
UCAUACAACAGAGGUGCAAGGGCUGUCGCUGACCUUUCAAAGGUCGUGCACGCCCGUCACACAUCCACUUCACCCCUAUGUGCAUCACCGCGUGGGGAUCCCUUGAAAGGGGGAGGCCCACGUUUUUCUUUUUUCCACACAAAACCUCAAAGUAGUAUAGAAUGUAUUUUCUUUAUUUGCGGUGAUACGCAAUCAAUA